UCAUUUCAUUGGUCUAUUUUGUUUUUAUCCCUUAUUUUAUGAAUAUCUAUAUACAUUUGUUUUAAAAACUGAACCUGCUUUAUGCUGAAGGGUGAUUAGACUUUGAUUAGCAACACUGCUGUUAGCAUCCAGGACGGCUCCCACACAGCAGACCUGUAAGUAAACCCACAAAAACACAAAGUUAGCUGAGACCACAGCCGGUAUGUAAAGAUGGACGUAGCGAGCUGUGACGUCCAGAGUUGCAGCUUCUGGUCUUUUCCUGUUUGGAGUCAGGAGCUUCUAGUGUGAGAUGUCUGGAAACACGCCCCGCUACCUCAGACCUAAGCUAACGUUAGCUUACUGGGAACACCGAGCUCUGCACACUUGGGCUAACGUUAGCUACUUUAGCUAAAUUGCACUAACAGGGCUGUGAUAUGUGAACGCCUCGCUUUGACAGUAACAGGUUUCUACUGUAGUCAGUCAGACAAACACACUGUUUACUGUAUUUUUUGCUUUUGCUGGUGUUUUGGGUUUGAGGUUGUCUCACAUCUGUUAUCAGUAGGUUUGCAACUUCAGUGUCUGUGAAAGCAAACCAGAAUCCAGCUGUAGAGGACUGCCUGCGGUGGUAUUACAGUAUAUCUGUGGGGGUGGAGGUGUGGGGGUGGAGGGGUUCAGCCUCUGCUGAUGAUCUACUAAUGACAAAUGGAUGGAACGAGCCGGAGGAGCCUGUGGUGGGAAGCCAGCCGUGUGAAGUCAAGUGCAAAAUUGAUAUUUGAGGACAGCUGAUGCAUUGUGGGAGCCAGGUCAGCUCCGUGUCACUGCGAUACUACAGCGAAUCUGUUUUUAUCACAGCUUCAUCCACAGAGGGGUUUUCUCUGCUCCUCGCCGUGUGACCAAGGUUAGGGAAUUGUCCUUAAAAAAAAAUACUUUCACAGCUGCAGGGAGGAUGUUCAUGACACGGCGGAGAGUUUAGACAUCUGUAACAUUACUCUGAACCACUGAAGUGACUCGAAUGAAUGUUAGCAUAUAGAUGACCUGGACAUUUCUGGUGCGAUAGAGGCUACAGCAGCUUCUUCCUCACCCAGAGGAGUAAGAGAGAAAGCCAACAAGGGAAGUGGUUAAAAAUGUAACACAGAGGACAUAAAUACAUUUCUGAAAGACAAAUCUGUAACUCUUUCAAACAAGAAGUCCCACGACUAACCGAUUGUAUUGUUGGCCCUCUGAUGGAGAACCCUAAACUCACUUUAACACUUGGUCUGAUCAAGGACUGUGUGAUGUUAAUGGCUAUGAGAAGGCAUGACAAGUGUUUUGAUCACAUCUGCGUGAAUAGUAGGCUGAAGCUUUUUGGUCGGGUGUCCAUCAACAAGUUGACUGACGGGGGAACCCGUUAAAAUAAGACGAAACAGAAGCGUUAAUCCGUCUCGUUAACGCGACGGCUUGUCUCAGAAUGGAAGAGCGAUCUUUUAGAGUUCAUGACGAGAGGCAGGAGUCGGGGCAAACACAGGCAGUUGGUGGAACUGAUCGCAUCCUAUGAUGGCCGUUCAGAAAGGUUUGAUAUCAGCAAUAUGCAUCAAAAAUUAAAAGUGAGCUUAAAUGAAGAAGUGGGUCCAGUUCUGUUUUUUUACAUGGCAGACAGAUGAAACAACUGAUGUGAGCUGUCACUGUCUGGUGUACAGAUACAGAGCAGCAGCUGUUAGAGGAUCUAACGUAGACGAGGUGAUGAGGAUCUCAGACAGGUUUAUAGGCGACUGUAUGACUCCAUCCAUGCAAGUAUUAAAAGUCAUGUUGGCGAUAUCAAAACCUUCACUGUAUGAACUUCUAGAUUUUGACAAAUUCCAACUGUUCAGAUCAGACUUUCUCUUUGCUGCAUCCAGAAGUCUGACAGAUAACUACGGACAUGAAUCAUUCGUUCUUUGACUUUUCCAUUUCAAAACUAAAUUGGAAAAACAAAUAAACGGCAUCUUUUUUUGGGGGAGAACAGAAAAACAGAGAAACACAGGAGCAGUGGUUUGUUUAUUACAGGACUGGAAAUGUAGAGAAGCAGAACACAGCGAGGAAGAAUUAGUUUUGUUUUCCAACUGCUGAGAGAAGAAGAAAAAGACGUUGCCGGUUCAGUUUUGUACGUUAACUCGUAGCAGUUACGGCCGACUGACUCAUGCUGACUGUAUUCAUGAACCUGAAGUGGAAACGCGCUGAAGAGGAAUCAGUCUGGCAGCGUUCUGGUGUCCUGCGGUGUUCAGUUAUGACUGUGAGGAGGUUCUACAUGGAGCACAACCUUCAAAGAAGGAAUCAUGUUUCUGACACGGCAGUGAUCUCCUCAAUCUACAGGGUCAUUUAUGACGGGAUGCCGUCUUCAAUCGGUGUGCGUGCCAGAGAGAGCAGAGUUGGGAUACCACGAUUUGAGACGACAUAUGUGCAGUGGUCACCAAUGGGAUGUGACCAUGGGAAGGAGUUCUGUCUGAGCCUGUACAUUAAACCUCAGCAGGCAAGCUUACGUUCAGUCUGCAUCUUCCAGGGCCGAGGAGUACCUGCUGACCUGGCUGCAGGAGGAAGUCCAGCCAAAACACCAGAGGAGCUGCUGUCCAGAGCUUCUGCUGUGGCAGACAGAUCCUCUCUCAGCAGGGAGGAAACCUUUGGUUUGGAAGACAGCAGCCGGGCAGAGGAGGAACCUGAUGUAUCUGUCAUUUUAGACAGUGUGGUCAAAUAUGACCAUAAUGUUUUCAGUGAAGCCCUUUUCUGCCUGCAUGUGUGGAAAGUUAUAAAACAAGUACAUAGUUCCCUCAGAUUUGACAUAAAGUGUUAUUCUCACUGUAUUACACUGAUUAUCCUGGAAUACAUUUCUGAUAUUCUGUAUUAUUGUACAUAUUCAAAUGAACUUUGAUGGACUCAUCUAUGCAAGAAUACAUCCUUAAAUCUGUUAAAUAAACCCUACAAAUGGGUUGCAGUACUUUUGGCAUCGUGGUGAUUGUUAAUUUAGGAAUAAUAACAAUGUUUGAACAUAUUAUUCUUUUUAUUGUUGUAGUUAAUUUACCCAAACAGCUGUAAAAGAUUUUAAAUGUAUCUUCAUGUGGACCACUGUUUUAUAUUCAAAUAAAAAUAUAGGCAGAACUCAAUACAUUAGCAAAAUAUCAAUAACAUUUUAUGAAUUUUAUUAAUUUAUGUCUAAAUUACAUAAACAGUACAUGGUUCUGCUUUACCAUGUUUACCAUUUGUAGAUUUAUGGCUACAUUUAAUAACAUUUUGAAGGUAACACUAGCAGAGCGAAUGCAGACUGUCUGCCAUCGGAAACAUUAGAGGUACAAGUAUUUCUGUGUAAACCUUCAUGGUAUAAUAAUAAUAAUAAUAUUAAUAACAUAUUACAUACAUCCACAGAUGAUGCAGCCUGGUUGUCACUGAGGGACUGUUAUUCGUUAGACAAUGUCUACGAGGUCUUUCAGGGUCCAGGAGACCUACAGACCCUGAGACACAAGGAUGACCUCCGGUACCUCAGUGAGGUGAAAAAUAUACAAAACAUAGUGUGUUAACUUGGACUUUCUAACAUUGUCUACAUGUGAGGGAAGAAUUGUUCUAUAUUUGAAGAAUCCUACUUUUCUCCAAAUGAAUCAUCUUACAGCACAUCAGCUGUGACCUUUCGGUGUAUCAUUUAUCACAGACGUUGUGUUGACCUGCACUCGAGCAGCUAAACUACUUUUCUCUCCUUCUCUUUCUCCUCGUAGCGUCUGGAGCUGUUCCUCCGGUACGCCAUACGUUUCUCUUCAGGAAUGUAGAUCCUGUGUUGUAUGGAUAUUUAUAGCAUUAGUGUCUAUUAACAACAAAGAGCAAUCGCUUUGAAUGUAAAGUAUAUAUUAUAAAGAACAUAAGAUUCACAUACUUAACGUCUCAACAUGAACAAAGGAACCGAUUUGAAAAGAGUGAAUUUCUAGAAAGGAUGUAAAUAACACCAUAAGAAGUACAACAGAUUAAUACAGUUCAACAUGUUCUUGAUAACAUUAAACUAUAAUAUGAAAUGUUAGUCUGUACCUCUGGUUCCUUCACAGUCCAUGAUGUCAUUACCAUGGCUGUCUAUUAACCUCUUAACAUCUUAAUAUCCACCAUUUCUUUUUUGGAAGUUGUGCCUGUUUGGCAUCCCCAAAUGGAAAAGCUUAAUACAGAAUAACUGAGAUAAUCAUGUAUUAGGUUUCAUUUGAAAGGUAACAUCUAGUUUUUGGAAAUGUGCUUGUUUAGCAUGUGGCUAAAACACAACCAAAACUACAUCAGUUCAAAUGUUUUUGGUCUUUGCCUGUAGUGAGUCAUAUUUAAAUAAGAAUAACUAGGACAUGCUUUACGCCAGAACUAUAUAAACUACCACAUAACUUCUACAUCUUGUCAAGCACACCUUUAUAAAAUUUCAGACCUCUUGACUUAAACUAAUGGGAGCGAGGAAGUUAUUAGUCUGUGGUGUUGUACCUCGUAGUGACCACCGUUACGGAGCUCUGUGCUGCUGAUCACGCCUCUGCUGUGGUCAUCAGUUCAAUAAAUGAUCUGUGCACGAAUCUGAAAAUAAACUUUUUUUAUUUGAGGGGUUGUGCAUAAGACUGACACGACACAGUCAUGAACAUGAAGGAGUCUUUAUGAAUAUUUAUGACUGUUGUCAGUUUGAAACGUCUUUGUUAUGACAACUGGACAUUAACCAAGACAAUAUAACCGGUCAUAGACAUGACAUAGCAAAUGAUUAGCUUUAUGUAUUAACAUCACAUUAAACUGUGGUACAAUUUGGAUUUGUCAUCAAGAUGUCAUUAAAUGUUAUAAGGCCAAUUUAACAACAGGAGUGAUUUAUGGAGUUUCCUUAUGGACAGAUAGCUUUACUUGUUGCUAAAGUAAGCUAACAGCUAACUGCUGCUUUAACUGUAGCUGCUGCUAGCUACGUUAGCUCGGUUAGCCAUGCAGCUAGUUUUAACGUAUAACGUUAAUACAUAAUGUUUUACCUGAAAAAUCACAGCAAUUUGAUCCAUGGUGAGAUCCUCUACGGAUUCCCUCAGAAGAUGAAACUGGCCAUUUAGAAAACCUUCCAGACAGAUACCUUACAGACAACACGAUGGAAAUCAUUGAAAUUACGUGUCUGCACCUCCUCGUUUUCCCAGCAUUCCCUGGAUUUACCAUAAAUAUCACACAAACAAAACAAAAAACUUGAUUUGUUUCCCCGUUUUGGUUUUAAAACAGAAAAACAAGCUUUGUGAUUGAUUACAGUCAGUGAAAACCAGCGGACUGAACGAUGUAACGUCUGAAUUAUACAGAAGUGUUUGUGUAUUUAUGUCCCCAGUGAUCAUUUCAGUACAUUUGUUUAUACCUACAAAGAUGUAUUCACAUAAGUAAGAAUGAGUUUUACUAAGUAUGAAGUCAGUAAAAGUGAACCGUUCUCCUCUGAGAUGAUGGAUGACUCUAAACGAAGCAGGUUUUGGUGUUUUUCCAGCUGAUAGAAUAAGAGCAGCUUUAACUCUCAGCUGAUUUAUUUCACACAAAUGUUUGUUUAUCGCAGGAAGUCGCGUCUUUCUGCUCUGAACGGAUUUAAAACAGAAACCUGCAGCGCCGGAAGCUUUUUCCUCUCGGGACUAAAACAGCCCGCCGCCUCCCUCGGCGGCCAUGAUGGAUGAUGUAGUAGAAGAAACAGGAUACAUUUCCCAGAAGGCCGAGCGUCUCACUGCAGAAGGAAGUAAAGAAGGAAGGAAGGCCUCGGUGCUGAAGUCCACUUAAGAUGCUCAUUGUGUCGUAUUUUCCUGUGUGUGUGACAAGCUGUUGCCUGACAUGAAAAUAAAAAAUGCAUCUGCUCAUCAAUUAUUCAUAGAAUUUAUUGAGGAUAUAUGUGCUUCAUGGGAAGAGAGGCGGCAGAAGGUCACGAGACUGACCAUCAGAUGAUGGAAACACGACAGUGAGGAGAAGUUUUACUGCUGAAAC